rnacentral:rRNA from 1 species
GAUGAACGCUGGCGGCGUGCCUAAUACAUGCAAGUCGAGCGAACAGACGAGGAGCUUGCUCCUCUGACGUUAGCGGCGGACGGGUGAGUAACACGUGGAUAACCUACCUCUAAUACUGGGAUAACUUCGGGAAACCGGAGCUAAUACCGGAUAAUAUAUUGAACCGCAUGGUUCAAUAGUGAAAGACGGUUUUGCUGUCACUUAUAGAUGGAUCCGCGCCGCAUUAGCUAGUUGGUAAGGUAACGGCUUACCAAGGCAACGAUGCGUAGCCGACCUGAGAGGGUGAUCGGCCACACUGGAACUGAGACACGGUCCAGACUCCUACGGGAGGCAGCAGUAGGGAAUCUUCCGCAAGGGGCGAAAGCUUGACGGAGCAACGCCGCGUGAGUGAUGAAGGUCUUCGGAUCGUAAAACUCUGUUAUUAGGGAAGAACAAAUGUGUAAGUAACUAUGCACGUCUUGACGGUACCUAAUCAGAAAGCCACGGCUAACUACGUG